GAUGAAGAACGUAGCGAAAUGCGAUAAGUAAUGUGAAUUGCAGAAUUCAGUGAAUCAUCGAAUCUUUGAACGCACCUUGCGCCCUUUGGUAUUCCGAAGGGCAUGCCUGUUUGAGUGUCAUGAAACCUCACCCCACUUGGGUUUUUGCCUGAGCGGUGGUGUAUUGGGUGUUGCCUUGCUAAAGGCUCGCCUUAAAGACAUAAGCACCUUGGAUGUAAUACGUUUCAUCCUUCUGGGUGGCUGAUAACCCCACAUAUUCAUGAUCUGGCCUCUAAUCAGGUAGGGCUACCCGCUGAACUUAAGCAUAUCAUAAGCGGAGGA
rnacentral:misc_RNA from 1 species